rnacentral:rRNA from 1 species
AGAACGAACGCUGGCGGCAUGCCUAAUACAUGCAAGUCGAACGAACUCUUCGGAGUUAGUGGCGCACGGGUGCGUAACGCGUGGGAAUCUGCCCCUUGGUUCGGAAUAACAGUUGGAAACGACUGCUAAUACCGGAUGAUGACGAAAGUCCAAAGAUUUAUCGCCAAGGGAUGAGCCCGCGUAGGAUUAGCUAGUUGGUGAGGUAAAGGCUCACCAAGGCAACGAUCCUUAGCUGGUCUGAGAGGAUGAUCAGCCACACUGGGACUGAGACACGGCCCAGACUCCUACGGGAGGCAGCAGUAGGGAAUAUUGACAAUGGG